CAAAAUGAGACUUUUUGCAUAACACUUGUGUACGUCUCAUCCUCAUAAGUACAAAUAUUGUUUAUCAAGUAUUUUCUGAAAUUACUAGCUUGUUUACUGUCGUGUUCUAGUACAUAUGGAAAUCGUGUUUGUCCUCCUGUAUCCUGAGAUGAAGAUGAAAGAAUUUCUGCACGCUUAUAAUGCAUAUCCGCAAAUAGCUCACCUAAUGGAUGCAUCACUUUCGCUCGACCCUUGAUGCUGACGUACCAAUAUUUCCUUAACCUUUGUUGACAUCGUACCGGGCGAUACAGAACAAAACGCUACUUUUUACACGGAGACAAACAACAAGCAACACACAAAAUUCGAUAUUAGCCUUCUUGGGGAAUAUGUAACAGAAGAAUUUAUGAAGUAAAACUACGCCGUAAAUAAAUAUAAAUAAAUAUAUUAACAAUCA